rnacentral:rRNA from 1 species
UACGUAGGGUGCGAGCGUUAAUCGGAAUUACUGGGCGUAAAGCGUGCGCAGGCGGUUCGUUAAGUUCGUUGUGAAAGCCCCGGGCUCAACCUGGGAACUGCAAUGGAAACUGGCGGGCUUGAGUGUGGCAGAGGGGGGUGGAAUUCCGCGUGUAGCAGUGAAAUGCGUAGAGAUGCGGAGGAACACCGAUGGCGAAGGCGGCAUCCUGGACCGGUAUUGACGCUGAGGCGCGAAAGCCAGGGGAGCAAACGGG